CAAUAGCGUAUGCUAAAGUUGUUGCGGUUAAAAAGCUCGUAGUUGAAAAUCUGUUUUAGCAGAUUGAUUUGUGCCUGGCACGAAUUCGAUCAGCUUAACUCAUCAUUUUAAGUACUCCCCCGGGAUGCUGUAAAUGACCUUUACUUUGAAGAAAUUAGAGUGUUUCACGCAAGCUCUUGCUUUGCAUAUAUCAGCAUGGAAUAAUAAAAUAUGACAUUGGAUUAUUUUGUUGGUUUACAUUUCCAGUGUAAUAAUUAAUAGAAACAAUCAGGGGCAUUCGUAUUCGCUUGUUAGAGGUGGAAUUCUUGGAUCUUGCGAGGACGAACUAAUGCGAAAGCAUUUGCCAGGGAUGUUUUCAUUAA
rnacentral:rRNA from 1 species